rnacentral:lncRNA from 1 species
UGGUGUAACUAUCGAUGCAAGACAGAACCAGCUAAAGAAAAUGCUCCACACACAGAGACCUACAUCAAAACUCCAAAUUUCCCAAGACGGUCUAUCUCCACAUAGUGCCUGCUGCCACUGAUCCACUUAAAACAGCGCCCGCCCAUCUUCUGAGCCUACAGACAACAAAGCUGCCUUCCUCCAAAAACCUCAUCUGACUGAAGACUCCUGAGACACAUGAAGAACCCCACAGAAGACAGACUUGGGACCUUCCAGCUACAGAUGAACUCUCUCGCCAAAGCCAAUGGCUGCUGAACUUAGGGAAAGUUACAUGAUAGCAAAGAAAACAUAAUGUCUAUCUAAAUUAAUUAAUUGCUGUUCAAAAUUGGUGUUAUUACCCUCAAAUUGUACUACCCAUGGAACAAGUAAUUGAUUGUACAAUCUCUUGCCUUCCCAACCCUUACCCUUAACCCUCUUUACUACUCUGGCUUUGUUGUGCUACUUCUCUAGGCUGUAUGUUUUCUUCUGAUACUUCCACCCCACCCUAAAUUUUCAUCACAAAUGACACAGGCACACCA